AACGAACGCUGGCGGCGUGGAUAAGACAUGCAAGUCGAACGAGACUUUCAGCUGUAGCAAUACAGUUGAAAGUUUAGUGGCGAACGGGUGCGUAACACGUGGGCAAUCUGCCGAAAAGUGGGGGAUAGCUCGCCGAAAGGCGAAUUAAUACCGCAUAUGGUCAGCCAAGACAUCUUGGUGAAUCCAAAGCCGGGGCAACCUGGCGCUUUUUGAGGAGCCCGCGGCCUANCAGCUAGUUGGUGAGGUAACGGCCCACCAAGGCUAUGACGGGUAGCUGGUCUGAGAGGACGACCAGUCACACUGGGAACUGAGACACGGUCCAGACACCUAC
rnacentral:rRNA from 1 species